rnacentral:rRNA from 1 species
AACGAACGCUGGCGGCAUGGCUAACACAUGCAAGUCGAACGAGACCUUCGGGUCUAGUGGCGCACGGGUGCGUAACGCGUGGGAACCUGCCCUUAGGUUCGGAAUAACUCCCCGAAAGGGGUGCUAAUACCGGAUAAUGUCUUCGGACCAAAGAUUUAUCGCCUUUGGAUGGGCCCGCGUUGGAUUAGCUAGUUGGUAGGGUAAAAGCCUACCAAGGCGACGAUCCAUAGCUGGUCUGAGAGGAUGAUCAGCCACACUGGGACUGAGACACGGCCCAGACUCCUACGGGAGGCAGCAGUGGGGAAUAUUGGACAAUGGGCGAAAGCCUGAUCCAGCAAUGCCGCGUGAGUGAUGAAGGCCUUAGGGUUGUAAAGCUCUUUUACCCGGGAUGAUAAUGACAGUACCGGGAGAAUAAGCUCCGGCUAACUCCGUG